rnacentral:lncRNA from 1 species
CAUUAUAAUAAUAAAUGUUAUCCUCAGCAGACACGAACCUGUGGAUCCAAGUAGUACCUGUUGCAGCUGGGAAGUCAUUGCAGGAUCUUGGUCCAGUGUUUGGCAACAGUUUGAUCUGAAGAUGGCAGUUUGGGUGAUUUGGAGCAGCCUCAGCCUGCUGCGACUGCUAUGGUGUCUUCUUCCGCAGACGGGCUACGUGCACCCGGAUGAGUUCUUCCAGUCACCAGAAGUCAUGGCAGGUAAAGUUCUCAUGUGGUUAAGACAAGCAGCAGCUGAGUGGCUGAGAGGCUGAUCGGCUAUUUAGUGGGGAAAGGAAAGCACGUCUGUACAGGCUUGUACAGUAACUCCACAAGCAAAGCUGUUUUAGCCUCUCUGGGACAACAGCUUGGGAGUGGGGACUCACAUCUUCUUCCUGAGUGGCAACACUGACCUUCUGGAUGAUACUGAUGAAACACCAGCCUCUUUGAUGUUUUCCUGCUUGGACCAACAGGUCAUUCAGAAUGAAAGCUAUGAUGGACUCCUUAACGGAAGGAUGAGAGUUGGGCUUUCCCAGUGUCUGGGGAAGCUUACACAGAGUUGUGAUCCGAGAAUAUGAAAAAUUUCCCACUGUAGUUCAAGGAAGGAGAGAGGGAACCCAGACAUGGGAUACUCACUUGUUAGAACUUAUCCACUAGGGGCUGGGGAUGUAGCUCAGUGGUAGAGCACUUGCCUAGUAUGUGUGAAGCCCUGGGUUCUAUCCCAGCACUGCAGAAAACAAACAAAACCAAAAUCUACUAGGUGGUGAAAGGUAUAUCAAGAGGAUGGUUGCCAGGGUCUAUGAGGACUUUUGGAUGCUAUCAGUGUGUGACUUCCUCCUCAUGGUUCAAGACGGAACUUUCAAAUCUAAAACUGUCUUUCUAGCAAACAGGAAAUGGACAUGCCUACUCCCUCUAAGGUCACAUUUUGUAAAUCAUAUGCUUUUUGUCCAUUUCCAUCCCACUGGUCAGACACUUGACUACACUUAGUUGCAAAGGAAGCUAGGAAACAAAGUUUUUGUAUCUGAUUAAGUGUUCAGCUAAAGACACUAAGACAGGAAGGGGGAUUUGCUAUCUCUGCCACAUGAAUCAGUAGGUAGAUUUGGAUUUUAAAUUGAAAAUUUUGGUCUUAUGUCCUAAGUGUUUUUUUAAACCUGAAUUGUAUACAGCAGCUGGAUUGACUUGACGCUAGAUUUUCUGUUUCCCUUUCACCUUCUGAUAUAGAUCAAAUGGCCAAAAGACUGGAGGAAUAAGUAGCAGAAGCAAAGAGCCUGAAUGAUCCCCAGGCCAUAUAAUCAGCUCUAACAGCCAGCAAGGUUAUCAAGCAUGAAAUGCUAUGGACAGUGGGGUUUGGACUAGAGAUGCAGAAAUUAAAAUUUGUUCCCUUACCCCAAACAAUGAGCUAUGGAACACUGGGGAACAGGGUCACAGAUCAACCUCAAGCAGCAAGUAUUUUUGAAAUUAUAUAAAUACUGCUUGAAUUCCUUUUUCUUGUAAAAAUUUAAGUAUCAUAAACAAAACUAAGAUUAUAUUUUUCCAUAACCCUUAUUGUCUGUUCUCUGUCCCUACACUCACAACCUCUUUUCCUGACAAAAAUCUUUCUUAGAGAUGAGUUCUGAUCCUAGAAAUAUUAAAAAAGGAAUGAAGUCUCCCCUGCUCCCUACCAUACCCUUGCGGGGUACACUGUCACCUAAUCUCCCAAGUACUGUUCCCUUUGUCUCCAACAGAGUGUGGCCUCAACCACCUUGAGUUCCUCUAUAUUAGUUUCUAC